rnacentral:rRNA from 1 species
UGGGGAAUAUUGGACAAUGGGCGAAAGCCUGAUCCAGCCAUGCCGCGUGUGUGAAGAAGGUCUUCGGAUUGUAAAGCACUUUAAGUUGGGAGGAAGGGCAGUAAGCGAAUACCUUGCUGUUUUGACGUUACCGACAGAAUAAGCACCGGCUAACUCUGUGCCAGCAGCCGCGGUAAUACAGCGGGUGCAAGCGUUAAUCGGAAUUACUGGGCGUAAAGCGCGCGUAGGUGGUUCGUUAAGUUGAAUGUGAAAGCCCCGGGCUCAACCUGGGAAAUGCAUCCAAAACAGGAGAGAUAGAGUAGGGCAGAGGGUGGUGGAAUUUCCUGUGUAGCGGUGAAAUGAGUAGAAAUAAGAAGGAACACCAGUGGCGAAGGCGACCACCUGGGAUAAUACUGACACUGAAGUGCGAAAGAGUGGGGAGCAAACAGG